rnacentral:rRNA from 1 species
GUAAUAUAUCGGAACGUGCCCAGUCGUGGGGGAUAACGUAGAGAAAUUUACGCUAAUACCGCAUACGAUCUAAGGAUGAAAGCGGGGGACUCGCAAGAGCCUCGCGCGAUUGGAGCGGCUGAUAUCAGAUUAGCUUGUUGGUGAGGUAAAAGCUCACCAAGGCGACGAUCUGUAGCUGGUUUGAGAGAACGACCAGCCACACUGGGACUGAGACACGGCCCAGACUCCUACGGGAGGCAGCAGUGGGGAAUUUUGGACAAUGGGCGAAAGCCUGAUCCAGCAAUGCCGCGUGUGGGAAGAAGGCCUUCGGGUUGUAAACCACUUUUGUACGGAACGAAACGGUUCGCUUUAAUACAGUGGGCUAAUGACGGUACCGUAAGAAUAAGCACCGGCUAACUACGUGCCAGCAGCCGCGGUAAUACGUAGGGUGCGAGCGUUAAUCGGAAUUACUGGGCGUAAAGCGUGCGCAGGCGGUUAUAUAAGACAGUUGUGAAAUCCCCGGGCUCAACCUGGGAAUUGCAUCUGUGACUGUAUAGCUAGAGUACGGUAGAGGGGGAUGGGAAUUCCGCGUGUAGCAGUGAAAUGCGUAGAUAUGCGGAGGAACACCGAUGGCGAA